GUUUCAUUGUUAUGAAUUCAAUACAUUCUAAGACUCGUGUGUGAAAAAUGAGGACCGACCGAGGUCGAAUCCCAAAGUGCACGGUGUGUGUGGAUGGAAUUGUUUGACGUGCAGCCCGAGGGCGCAUCAGCCAAAGGUAAUUCGUUAAUGAUCCUUCCGCAGGUUCACCUACGGAAA
rnacentral:misc_RNA from 1 species